GAUGAACGCUGGCGGCGUGCUUAACACAUGCAAGUCGAACGAUGAUGCCCAGCUUGCUGGGUGGAUUAGUGGCGAACGGGUGUGUAACACGUGAGUAACCUGCCCUUGACUCUGGGAUAAGCCUGGGAAACUGGGUCUAAUACCGGAUACGACCAUCUGGCGCAUGUGAUGGUGGUGGAAAGCUUUUGUGGUUUUGGAUGGACUCGCGGCCUAUCAGCUUGUUGGUGGGGUAAUGGCCUACCAAGGCGACGACGGGUAGCCGGCCGGAGAGGGUGACCGGCCACACUGGGACUGAGACACGGCCCAGACUCCUACGGGAGGCAGCAGUGGGGAAUAUUGCACAAUGGGCGCAAGCCUGAUGCAGCGACGCCGCGUGGGGGAUGACGGCCUUCGGGUUGUAACCCCCUUUCAGUAGGGAAGAAGCGAAAGUGACGGUACCUGCAGAAGAAGCGCCGGCUAACUACGUG
rnacentral:rRNA from 1 species